UAUGGCUCAGGAUGAACGCUAGCGACAGGCUUAACACAUGCAAGUCGAGGGCAGCAUAAAAGUAGCAAUACUUGGUGGCGACCGGCGCACGGGUGAGUAACGCGUAUGCAACCUACCUAUCAGAGGGGAAUAACCCGGCGAAAGUCGGACUAGUACCGCAUAAAACAGGGGCACCGCAUGGUGAUAUUUGUUAAAGAGAUUCGCUGAUAGAUGGGCAUGCGUUCCAUUAGGUAGUUGGUGAGGUAACGGCUCACCAAGCCGACGAUGGAUAGGGGAACUGAGAGGUUGGUCCCCACACUGGUACUGAGACACGGACCAGACUCCUACGGGAGGCAGCAGUGAGGAAUAUUGGUCAAUGGGCGGGAGCCUGAACCAGCCAAGUCGCGUGAAGGAAAGAAGGAUCUAUGGUUCGUAAACUUCUUUUGCAGGGGAAUAAAGUGCAGGACGUGUCCUGUUUUGUAUGUACCCUGAGAAUAAGGAUCGGCUAACUCCGUGCCAGCAGCUGC
rnacentral:rRNA from 1 species